rnacentral:rRNA from 1 species
AGAGUUUGAUUCUGGCUCAGGACGAACGCUGGCGGCGUGCUUAACACAUGCAAGUCGAACGAUGAAGCCUAGCUUGCUAGGUGGAUUAGUGGCGAACGGGUGAGUAAUACGUGAGUAACCUACCUUUAACUCUGGGAUAAGCCUGGGAAACUGGGUCUAAUACCGGAUACGACCAAUCUCCGCAUGGGGUGUUGGUGGAAAGCGUUAUGUAGUGGUUAUAGAUGGGCUCACGGCCUAUCAGCUUGUUGGUGAGGUAACGGCUCACCAAGGCGACGACGGGUAGCCGGCCUGAGAGGGUGACCGGCCACACUGGGACUGAGACACGGCCCAGACUCCUACGGGAGGCAGCAGUGGGGAAUAUUGCACAAUGGGCGCAAGCCUGAUGCAGCGACGCCGCGUGAGGGAUGACGGCCUUCGGGUUGUAAACCUCUGUUAGCAGGGAAGAAGAGAGAUUGACGGUACCUGCAGAGAAAGCGCCGGCUAACUACGUGCCAGCAGCCGCGGUAAUACGUAGGGCGCGAGCGUUGUCCGGAAUUAUUGGGCGUAAAGAGCUUGUAGGCGGUUUGUCGCGUCUGCUGUGAAAGGCCGGGGCUUAACUCCGUGUAUUGCAGUGGGUACGGGCAGACUAGAGUGCAGUAGGGGAGACUGGAAUUCCUGGUGUAGCGGUGGAAUGCGCAGAUAUCAGGAGGAACACCGAUGGCGAAGGCAGGUCUCUGGGCUGUAACUGACGCUGAGAAGCGAAAGCAUGGGGAGCGAACAGGAUUAGAUACCCUGGUAGUCCAUGCCGUAAACGUUGGGCACUAGGUGUGGGGGACAUUCCACGUUUUCCGCGCCGUAGCUAACGCAUUAAGUGCCCCGCCUGGGGAGUACGGCCGCAAGGCUAAAACUCAAAGGAAUUGACGGGGGCCC